rnacentral:rRNA from 1 species
UACGAAGGGGGCUAGCGUUGUUCGGAAUUACUGGGCGUAAAGCGCGUGUAGGCGCCAUCUAAGUCGGGCGUGAAAUCCCACGGCUCAACCGUGGAAGUGCACUCGAAACUGGAUGGCUAGAGUCCUGGAGAGGAAGGUGGAAUGCUUGGUGUAGAGGUGAAAUUCGUAGAUAUCAAGCGGAACACCGGUGGCGAAGGCGGCCUUCUGGACAGUGACUGACGCUGAGACGCGAAGGCCAGGGGAGAGCAAACGGG